rnacentral:rRNA from 1 species
UACAGAGGGUGCGAGCGUUAAUCGGAAUUACUGGGCGUAAAGCGCGCGUAGGCGGCCCUGCAAGUCGGAUGUGAAAUCCCACGGCUCAACCGUGGAAGUGCAUUCGAAACUGCAGGGCUAGAGUCCUGGAGAGGAAGGUGGAAUGCUUGGUGUAGAGGUGAAAUUCGUAGAUAUCAAGCGGAACACCGGUGGCGAAGGCGGCCUUCUGGACAGUGACUGACGCUGAGACGCGAAAGCGUGGGGAGCAAACAGG